UACGUAGGGGGCAAGCGUUGGUCCGGAUUUAUUGGGCGUAAAGAGCGUGUAGGCGGCCAUGUAGGUCCGUUGUGAAAACUCGAGGCUCAACCUCGAGACGCCGAUGGAAACCAUGUGGCUAGAGUCCGGAAGAGGAGAGUGGAAUUCCUGGUGUAGCGGUGAAAUGCGCAGAUAUCAGGAAGAACACCCGUGGCUAAGGCGGCUCUCUAGUACGGUACUGACGCUGAGACGCGAAAGCGUGGGAGCGAACAGGAUAGAACCCGGUAGGUCCAGACCGAAUGAUAC
rnacentral:rRNA from 1 species